GGGGGAAUAUUGCACAAUGGGGGAAACCCUGAUGCAGCAACGCCGCGUGAAGGAAGACGGUCUUCGGAUUGUAAACUUUUGUUCUUGGUGAAGAAGAAUGACGGUAGCCAAGGAGGAAGCCACGGCUAACUACGUGCCAGCAGCCGCGGUAAUACGUAGGUGGCAAGCGUUGUCCGGAAUUACUGGGUGUAAAGGGAGCGCAGGCGGGAAAUCAAGUUGGAUGUGAAAUGUCGGGGCUUAACCCCGGAACUGCAUCCAAAACUGAUAUUCUUGAGUGAAGUAGAGGUAGGCGGAAUUCCGAGUGUAGCGGUGAAAUGCGUAGAUAUUCGGAGGAACACCAGUGGCGAAGGCGGCCUACUGGGCUUUAACUGACGCUGAGGCUCGAAAGUGUGGGGAGC
rnacentral:rRNA from 1 species